AUGUAUUUGAGGGGAGGAUCUCAAGGAUCGCAGCACAAAGUGUGUUCUUCCUCUGUUGUUUCUACGCCUUUGCUCUGUUGUUUGCGUGUGACACAUGAACUGAUGGCAAAUCAAAGUGAAGCUGAGAUGGACUUGGACGGGGGAGUCGAGGGAUCGGGCACCAGUGAGGGUGCGCUUGCUGUGUCCCCGACGGUCGUCCAGGCCGGCGUGGAGGUCGCCAACGGCGUGGCUCCAUCAUCCCCGGCGCCGAGUGGUGGGGCCAUCGGGGAGAUGCAGAUAUCCCCGGUUCAGGACAUGGUAAAGGCCAAGGUGGGAGGCCCAGCGGGGCUGGCGCUCACCGUGACCCCAAAGGCUUCAUUCGGUUUCGCUGCUGCGACGGCGCCUCCUCAACUAUGCAGGAAGGGGAAGAACAAGGCAGCCUCGAGCUCGAGUACGCACUCCAAGCCGAUCGUCAUCAACCUGGAGGCGGCAAUGCGGGCGGUCACAGGGAAGAUGGUGGUGGGCCGGGUGCUCUCCCCGUACCUGGUCGAUCCCACGCUGGUCGUCAACGAGCUCAGAGGACCAUGGCGGCUCCGAGGCGAAGUCGUGGCGCAGCGCGUCACCAGCGAAGACCGUCGCUUCGUCAUCACCUUUAAGGAGGAGGGUGAUCGGCGUCAUGUGCUGCAAGCUGGACCAUGGCAUUUCAGAGACGAUGACGUUGUUCUAGCGGCUUUCGAAGGGAAGGGCGACCCAGCAGACGUACCCCUCGACUCCAUCAACAUCUGGGCUCAAAUAUGGGGGCAACCGGUGCCGAUCAAAACAGUGGAGAUGGGCUACCUGCUGGGUGGCAAACUCGGCAAGGUCGCGACGGUGUCGCAAGUGAAUAAGAUGAUCGUCGACGAGCACUUGCGUGUUCGGGUUGUGCACCGCCUCGACGAGCCUCUAAGGAAGUUCAUCGACACCAUUGUGACGAUGCCGAAUGGCAAGACAAAUGAGUCCAUCUACUACGUCAAGUAUGAAAACCUUCCUAACUUCUGUUUCUGUUGUGGCAUUCUGGGGCACACCACGGCUACUUUCUGCAACAUCCCAAAAGAGCUCCGACAGCCUUCGUACACCACCGACAUCAAGGCGCCGGCGUUCUGGAAGAACUCGCAGACGGCGGCCGGGUCGGGCCACCGCCAGCGUGGGGGCUUGGUAAAGCUUCCCGAAUUUGCCAUGGCUGGGGCGUAA
rnacentral:rRNA from 1 species